UAAAGGGUGUUCGGGAGGCUACGCCGUAAAACAACCCCAUUUCUAAGGUUGACCUCGGAUCAGGUAGGGAUACCCGCUGAACUUAAGCAUAUCAAUAAC
rnacentral:rRNA from 1 species